CAACCCUCAAGCCCCCGGGCUUGGUGUUGGGGACCGGCCACCGCCGCUACUCGCGGCAGGCCGCCCCCGAAAUACAGUGGCGGUCACGCUGCGGCAUCUCCUGCGUAGUAACACACCUCGCAUUGGAUACGCUACGGGACCACGCCGUAAAACAACCCACUUCUGAAAUG
rnacentral:misc_RNA from 1 species